rnacentral:rRNA from 1 species
GUGAGGAAUUUUCCGCAAUGGGCGAAAGCCUGACGGAGCAAUGCCGCGUGAAGGAUGAAGGCCUAUGGGUUGUAAACUUCUUUUCUUAGAGAAGAAUAUUGACGGUAUCUGAGGAAUAAGCAUCGGCUAACUCUGUGCCAGCAGCCGCGGUAAGACAGAGGAUGCAAGCGUUAUCCGGAAUGAUUGGGCGUAAAGCGUCUGUAGGUGGCUUCAAAAGUCUCCUGUCAAAUAUCAGGGCUUAACCCUGGGCCGGCAGGAGAAACUCUGAGGCUAGAGUUUGGUAGGGGCAGAGGGAAUGCCCGGUGGAGCGGUGAAAUGCGUAGAGAUCGGGAGGAACACCAAAGGCGAAAGCACUCUGCUGGGCCACAACUGACACUGAGAGACGAAAGCGAGGGGAGCAAAAGGGAUUAGAAACCCUUGUAGUCC